rnacentral:rRNA from 1 species
GCGCAUACAGAGGGCAGCCAACUUGCGAAAGUGAGCGAAUCCCAAAAGUGCGUCGUAGUCCGGAUUGGAGUCUGCAACUCGACUCCAUGAAGUCGGAAUCGCUAGUAAUCGUGGAUCAGAAUGCCACGGUGAAUACGUUCCCGGGCCUUGUACACACCGCCCGUCACACCAUGGGAGUGGGCUGCAAAAGAAGUAGGUAGUUUAACCUUCGGGGGGACGCUUACCACUUUGUGGUUCAUGACUGGGGUGAAGUCGUAACAAGGUAGCGCUAGGGGAACCUGGCGCUGGAUCACCUCCUUAWACGAUGAU